rnacentral:rRNA from 1 species
CGGCGGACGGGUGAGUAACGCGUGGGUAACCUGCCUCAUACAGGGGGAUAACAGUUGGAAACGGCUGCUAAUACCGCAUAAGCGCACAGUACCGCAUGGUACGGUGUGAAAAACUCCGGUGGUAUGAGAUGGACCCGCGUCUGAUUAGGUAGUUGGUGGGGUAACGGCCUACCAAGCCGACGAUCAGUAGCCGGACUGAGAGGUUGACCGGCCACAUUGGGACUGAGAUACGGCCCAG